rnacentral:lncRNA from 10 species
CGGCCAUUUCCAUUCUCUCCCUUCCGCUUCUCUAGUGGAUAAUUCCUGCUGGCCAUUUAACACUCAAGCCGGAGUGCUGGGAAAGGAAGAGCACGGUCCCUUUAAAUGAUACGGAAGCCGGGAAGGAAAGCGCGGGGUAGAAAGGGCAGAGUCCGUGACUAGGCCUCUAGCCCCAGGGACCUAGGCGAGGACAGGCACUCCUGCUUUUCCAAGAGCACCCUGGCCCGCCACGCCCCCAGCCUGGGCCUAUAAACACCCACGACCCUAGCAAGGCAGAGACAGAAGCUGCUGGAGGGCGAGAGGAACGCAUCAGUGGAAGAAGACAGAAGCGGCUGGUCACGGAGAGCAUGUCAGCAGAAGAACACACCUACAGACGCCGGCUCGCCCGCGGGCUCCCCGGCAGGCCAUCGACCGGUGGGACGAGGUGGAGUUUGUCCUGGGCAGUAGGAGGACAGCCCGGGCACCCAGCGGCCCAACUCCAGGGGAAAGCCAUCUCCCUUCUGGAGCUGCCCAACUCCGGGGGAAAACCAUCUCCUUUCUGACUCUCCUGUCGGUGGAGAGUUACUUCCACUCAAUACGAUUUUGCAGUCAUUCUCCAAGCCCACGUGUGAUCCGAUUCUUCCGGUACACCAAGGCAAGAACCCGGGAUACAGAAAGCCCUCUGGCCUUAUGACAAGGUAGAGGGUCUAACUGAGCUAUAGACCGUGAACUAAGAGCGCACCCUGGAACACACGCCCUCUGGGGCUUCAGCUGUAAACAUCCACCCUUAGACACUGCCAUGGGGUUGGAGCCCCACAACCUGCCCAUCUCUAUGCCCCACUAGAGGUAUGACCAACGGGGCACUGAAGAGGCGAGCACACCCCAUCGCACGCCCUGCAAGGGGGACGGGGGAACCUUUCCCAUUUCAACACCACCGCUGUGGCUGCAUGUGGCUGCCAUAAGAAAAAGAACCCAUUCUUUGGCACAGCUGAAGCAGGACUCUUCUCGUUGUUCUCCAGAGUCUGGCUGGCCUGGAACGUGCCAUGACUGUACAAUAUGAUAGGAGGGAGACUGUACCAGCUCCAAGCCAGCUUUUCUGAUACCUGCAGCUUCUGAUUCCUCUGGAGGAGAAGUCAGCUACUAGGUAAGAAGUCAACUCACACUGAGGCCGCCAUGCAGGGAGGAAGCCUAAGCCAGCCCAGUGGGGAGGCCAUGUGGUGGACAACUGAGGAACCCAGUGGACAGGGCAAAUUGAGACCCCAGACAUGAAACCAGCUGAGUCAUCCCAGUCCUUUGUAUGAUUGCAGCCACGGCUCCCAUUAUUGUGGCUCAGAGAUGAUCCAUAUCCCCUCUCCCCUGAGCAAAUUCUCAUCCAAAGAAUCAUGAGGAACUAAAAUGGUUGUUCUUUCAUGUUACUAUGUUUAGAGGUGGUUUGUUCCAUUACAAUAGACAGCUGAAGCAAGCAUGCAGAACCUUACUUUCCAGAAAUGGAGAAGGACAGUGGAGGGUUUGUGUGGAUGAGAAGCAAACACAAAUAUUUCUUUCCCUUUGUGGCUGAGAAGUAUUGCAGGUGCAGUUUUAAAAGCCCCAUGGAUAAACAGCUCAUGUAGGUCCAGGUCCAGGCUUUGAAUGCACUACAGUUCCCUUGUUGGAAGCACCAGCCUCAAAGCGAAUAAAGCAAAUGUAUUGAUCACCCUGUAUGCCACUGAGUGACAUGGAAGGUUUUAACAAGAGACCAUCUCCUCUACCUCACUGUGAACUGAAGAAAGACAAACCACAACUCCUUGGAACUUCAUUUUCCCCUAGUAUGGAGACAUUCUUAUCCUGGGACAACUCCACUGUCUUAUUGAAAGCAUCAAAUAAGAUAACUCUGGGUGAAAGUGUUUUAUACACUGUAAAGUGUCGUACAGACCUGGUGACUUUCUAGAUCCUAUUUUGAAGAAAAAACAAUUAUUCAGACCUUGAAUUACAGCAGAACUAAGAAAUAGGAGGUAGGCUGGCAUAAGACCUAAGAUUGUGUGUGUGCAGAGCAACGGUCUGGGCUGACACCUUGGCUCUUCUAUUUAUUUCCUGCAUGGCCUGAAGAAUGUGACUUUAUUUCUCUGUACCUUACUUUGCUUAUCUAUAAAAUAAGGAUGAUAAUACCCACCUCUCAUCAUGCCAUAAAACUUACAUAAGCAAAUACCUGUGAAGUGCUUCAAACAAUGCCUGGCACAUAGCAAUUGUGCUGCUAUUUUAACUAUAAUAAUAAUUUAAGGCUUUCAAUAUCUUUAUGGUCCUCCAAACACUUUGUUCUGACAACAGAGUGGUUGUCAUAAAAUUUAAAACUUGGAAUGACCUUACUAUUGAUUAAUCUAACCCAACCCUCUCCCGGUAUCAUCAAUAGCCUCAUCAAUCGCCCCUCAUGCUUGCACAUUUUCUGAAAUGGGAACUCACUGUCUCCCUGGUAGCCUCUAUCCUUGUUGUGGGGCUCUGAUAAUUUGCUUCAAGUAAGUGUCCAACACUGAAGUUGCUGAGUCAGACGGCAUAUUCACUUACAAGCCUUUCAAUUCUAAUUCCCAAUGUGUCCUUAAGAAAGGUGAUAUUCAUAUACAGUACUACUCAUAAAGUGCCCAAUUCAACACAACCUGAAGCAAGGAGAGUUGGAUUAAAAGCCACUUUCUAAUUUGAUCAACAGAACAAUAACUAUUCUUCUUUCCUAUUUUAUAUUCAUUAUAGUACUAAUGAAACUAAGUAUUUUUUCUCAAAUAUUUACUGCCUUACUUUUUCCAUUUUGACUUGCCUGUUAAUGUCCUUUAUCUAUUUAUUUGAUGCAUUUGCUUUUACCUUGAUUAAUUUAUAGAUUCCCUGUCUUAAGCAUACUCGUUCUUUGUUAAAAAGUUUGAAAAUAGUUUUCCCAACAUGUCAUUUAAAUUUUAGUUUUGAUUUUGGUCUAAUGUGAUAAACAGAUAUUUUAAACUGUUUUGUAGCUAAGUUAUUUUUUAUGGUUUAUUCUUUAGCUUGUAUGAUACAGAAGCCUUCCUUGCCUAUACAUCACAUCAAUAUUCACUUCUGGGUUUCUCUCUGCUCAUUAUAGGGGAUUUCAUUUUGACAUGACAACUAAUGCAUUUUGUGGCACUAAAGCCCAUAAGGUUAUCCUUCUCUCAUUCCAUUAAGACCAGGGGGUCUUUAUUGCUUCACAAAGGAAGGGCAGUUAAAAGGGAAAUAAGACACGGAAAUAUGGGAGUGUGUGUCGCUGAGAAGGGUCCCGCUUUCAGCCUUCUAUCUUCCCUCAACAAUCCUGAGCCUUUACCUGGUAUGUCCCAGGACAGAAACAGAGUCCUGCUGUCUUUCCCAGGGAAUGUCAUGGAGGGGUGCCAAGGCUUCAAUAAUUUGUUCUAAAAAUGGCUUUGGAGAAAGAUGUCAUGAUGUGUUUUUAGCUAGUUGCGCCUGAGACAGCUACAGACUUUAAUCUCAUCAAGUGCAGUGACUGGAGCAGCCAAAUAUUUUUCAUAAGAAAAAUGGGCAAGAAAUGACUGCAAGAAAGCCCAGGAGGUAUAUGCUUUCUCAUCAGGGCAAAGACUGAAUCCUCAGCACUGUCUAAGCUGUCACAUAAUACAUAGACAUAAGUCCUGGACCAUUACCAGAGAGAGACACAGAGAUGACUGAGAAAACUUAAAAUAAAAAAAAAAAGAUUAAAAGAGCCCCAUCAGGUCAAUACCUAGAUGUCGGCCUUGUGAGACUGAACAGAGAACCUCGUCAUGUCUGCCUGGACUUCUGGCCCCCAGAACCACGAGCUCAUAAAUUGUAAGCCUCCAAAUUUACG